ensembl:lncRNA
AGAGUUCUUUACCCCACAGGCCCAAACUGGCCUGUUUGGGAAUUUGGUUCUCAUCUGGCUCCUGAUUUCUUGAUUUUAUUUAACAGGAUGAAUAUGGCUUCCUAAAAAUGACUACAUCCUAAUCCCUGGAACCUGUGAAUUGUCACUUUGUAUGGCAUGGGGGCUUCAGAGAUAUGAUGAAGUGUAGAAUGUGAGGCGGCGGAACCACUGAGCUAAAUCCCUGGCAAGUGUGUCCUGAUAGAGGGACUCACUGGAGAUUUGGUCACAGAAGGCUAACUGACCAUAGGCAGAGACACUUGAACAUGUUUUGUGGCUGGCUUUGAAAAUGGAAAGAGGCCAAGAGCUGAGGAAUGCAGUUCUACAAGCAAAGACAUCCAUGCUGGAGCCUGAGAGACUGCAGGGGAAUCCAGACCCUGGAGCUACCUUGGCUGCUGCCCCACGAAACUCACUCCAGACUUUUGCCUCCAAAAGUGGAAGAGGAUACAUUUCUUCACUUUGGAGCCACUAAAUUUGUGGUGAUUUGUUACAGCAAACAUAGACAACACCCUUCAUGUCCAAACAAAUACCUAUUUAUACAUGCAAAUUCUUCCCCACACAUGUUCCCCAGGUUUAUUGUUGUUGUUGUUGUUUUGUUUUUAGUUUUUUGAGACAGGGUCUUGCUCUGCAGUUCAGACUAGCCUCAAACUCACUAUGGAGCCCAAACUAAUGCUGCAGUGCGAAACUUGUACAGAAGUCAUUUUGCACACAUGCGUGUAUAUCAGAUACAUCCUUGCAAGGGCAAUUGCUGGGCCAAAAGGUAGCAUCCAAGCUGGCAUGGCAGUGCACACCUGUAAUUACAGUAUGUGUGAGGCUGAGGCAGGAGAAUCUGGAGUUCAAGGUCAGCCAGGGUUAGGAAGUAUACAUCCACUUGUUACUUUGAUAGAAACUGCCAAAUUUCAUUCACGCAGGCAAAACAAAUGUUUUGUUCCUUGUUUUGCGUUUUUAGACGGUCUUACUAUAUAGUCCAGCCUGGCCUUGAACUCACUAUUUAGCUCAGGCUGCUUCUGACUUGUGAUCCUCCAGCCUCAGCCUCCACAGUGCUGGGAUUACAGGUGUGUACCCCUAUUCCUGGAUUGGAAAGCAUUUCUAUUUCCACUGGAAAUGCAUAGGGAAUCUUGUGUUCCUGAUAGCUGCUAACUGGUCAGUGAACGCUACUCAGAGCAACUUUAAUUUCUUUCUCAUAUUGCAGAGUUGGGCCUGUUUUCAUAUGUGUAAGAGUUGAUUUUAUUUAUUUCCAAUGAACUCCAUAUCUUUUGCCCAUUUUUCUUUUUUGGGGGGUAGGAGUUAUUUAAAUAAUAGAGAUAUCAGCCCUUUGUGAUACUAAUCUCAAUUUUUACUUUUUUGUUUGCCAUUUGGCUUUCAUGUUGCUUUCCUUGAUUUGUCUUUAUUUGUUUGUUUGCAGUGCUGGGGACAGAACCAAGGGCUUUGUGCAUGCUAGGCAAUUGCUCUACUGUAGUGGCAGACUUACAGUCCACAGUAUGGUAGCUCUUAGUAGUACAGCAGGAUCAGGCCAAGAAGAAUCAAGAACGCACCCGGAGGUUGGAGGCAGCUUUAUUAUGCUGGCCAACUGAUCAGCCGGGAGCUGUCAGUGAACAGGGUUUAUAUGGGUCAAGGGAAGAGGGGUGGGGAUACAGAAGCAAGGCAUUUGUC